UCCGGCUUAUCACCGGCGGUUUCUUUAGAGUGCCCAACUAAAUGGUAGCAACUAAGGACGGGGGUUGCGCUCGUUGCGGGACUUAACCCAACAUCUCACGACACGAGCUGACGACAGCCAUGCAGCACCUGUACACAGGCCACAAGGGAACCGACAUCUCUGCCGGCGUCCUGUGCAUGUCAAGCCUAGGUAAGGUUCUUCGCGUUGCGUCGAAUUAAACCACAUGCUCCACCGCUUGUGCGGGCCCCCGUCAAUUCCUUUGAGUUUCAACCUUGCGGUCGUACUCCCCAGGCGGGGUACUUCCUGCGUUAGCGCCGGCACCCAGAGGGUCGCUCCCCCAGGCACCUAGUACCCAUCGUUUACGGCGUGGACUAC
rnacentral:misc_RNA from 1 species